UACGGGGGGGGCAAGCGUUGUUCGGAAUUACUGGGCGUAAAGGGCUCGUAGGCGGCCAACUAAGUCAGACGUGAAAUCCCUCGGCUUAACCGGGGAACUGCGUCCGAUACUGGAUGGCUUGAGUUUGGGAGAGGGAUGCGGAAUUCCAGGUGUAGCGGUGAAAUGCGUAGAUAUUGGGAGGAACACCAGUGGCGAAGGCGGCUCACUGGACCGGUACUGACGCUGAUGCGCGAAAGCGUGGGGAGCAAACGGG
rnacentral:rRNA from 1 species